rnacentral:lncRNA from 1 species
AAAAACUUGAUAUGCUAGGCAUUUACACUAAAGCCGGCUACAAUUAAGAUCCUACACCUGUAAUAGUCAUAGGUCCCAGUUUUGUUCAAUUUAAUUCUGCGCAUGACCACAUCCACGUGAGAUUGAGAUUACCAUGAAUGACAUCACAUAUUGAUCAGAUGGCGGGAAAGGGUCUGAAGUGGGAAAAUAGCGCCUGAUGAAGCUUUGAAAUAGAUGGUCUCCUCCACCAUGCUGGUAAAAGCGCUCCUUCAGACCUCACUGGUCCUAUGGCUGGCACAGCACACACUACAAGGAGGAGUGAAACCUCAAAGUGGCGGUAUGGGGAAAAUGCUACCCAGGGGGGCUGGUGCUCUUGGGAUACAGGGAGGCUACGGAGCCAAGCCCGCCAAAACCGGAGGAGCUGGGGGUAAUAUUGAUUGACUUCCAUGUUUAUAUUUUUAGUGCUGCCAAUCAUCAUUUGUGAUUUAAUUUAUGUACCAUCAUGACCUGUCUUUCUAAUGAAUCACAGGUGGUCAUUAUCCAGGGGGGGCUCAGCAGCUUGGAGGAGG